rnacentral:rRNA from 1 species
AACGAACGCUGGCGGCAUGCCUAACACAUGCAAGUCGAACGAGACCUUCGGGUCUAGUGGCGCACGGGUGCGUAACGCGUGGGAACCUGCCCUUAGGUUCGGAAUAACUCCCCGAAAGGGGUGCUAAUACCGGAUAAUGUCUUCGGACCAAAGAUUUAUCGCCUUUGGAUGGGCCCGCGUUGGAUUAGCUAGUUGGUAGGGUAAAAGCCUGCCAAGGCGACGAUCCAUAGCUGGUCGGAGAGGAUGAUCAGCUACACUAGGACUGAGACACGGCCCAGACUGCUACGGGAGGCAGCAGUGGGGAAUAUUGGACAAUGGGCGAAAGCCUGAUCCAGCAAUGCCGGGUGAGUGAUGAAGGCCUUAGGGUUGUAAAGCUCUUUUACCCGGGAUGAUAAUGACAGUACCGGGAGAAUAAGCUCCGGCUAACUCCGUG